rnacentral:rRNA from 1 species
UGCCCUAUGAGUCAUUUAAAUGGCCGCAGUAUUUUGACUGUGCAAAGGUAGCAUAAUCACUUGUUCUUUAAUUGGGGGCUGGAAUGAAAGAGGCGACGAAAUCUAGGCUAUUUAAAUUUUAAAUUAAAUUGACAGACAGGUUAAAAGGCCUGUAUGCACCAGAGGGACGAUAAGACCCUAUAAAACUUUACCUUUAGUGUAAGAUUAGGUAGAAAUAAGACUAUAUCUAAAAGUUUAACUGGGGCGGUAAUUAUAAAAACAAUUAUAUUUGUAAUAUAUUAAAUAGUGGUUUAUAGAACUCUUUAAGAAAUAAAACAAGUUACUUUAGGGAUAACAGCGUAAUUCCCCCAGAGAGUGCUAAUUGGCGGGGGAGCUUACGACCUCGAUGUUGAAUUGGGGUGUCUCGUGUAAGCAGUCAUAUACGCAGGUAGUCUGUUCGACUAUUAAACCCCC